UGCGCGCCUUGCAGCCACAGUUCGGGGAUAAACCCAAGCGGAAGCGGCCAGCCAGCUCAGAGCAGCAAGCCAUGGCGCCUCCCGUCUCCUCCCUGUCCCGCAUGGCGUCCAGCCCAAUCCCGUCGACGCAGCUCCCCAAGCCCAGCAGAAGGACGCUCGCCGUCGCGCCCUGCAGCUCCGCCUCCUCCUCGCCUUCUACCACCUCGUCCCCUCCGUGCCACGCCGCCGCGCCUCAGGCGGCGUCGGCGGGUCGGAGGGGGAUGCUGGCGCUGGGCGGGUUCCUGGCCUCGGCCGCGCUUCUGGGUCCGGCCGGGGACGCCGGGGCGACGCGCAUCGAGUACUACGCGACGGUCGGGGACAAGCUCUGCGACAUGAACCUCGUCAAGUCGGGGCUCGCGUACUGCGACGUCGAGGUUGGGACCGGCGCCCAGCCCCCGCGCGGCGAGCUCAUCAAUGUUCACUACACUGCGAGAUUUCCUGAUGGUACAGUGUUCGACAGCACCUACAAGCGCGGCAGGCCACUGACAAUGCGUAUCGGCGCAGGGAAGAUCCUCCGUGGGCUUGAACAGGGAAUCAGUGGAGGUGGAGGUGUGCCGCCCAUGCUUGUUGGUGGAAAACGCAAGCUUAUGAUACCUGCAACUCUGGCGUACGGGCCUGAACCAGCAGGCUGCUUCUCAGGAGAUUGCAACAUUCCUGGAAACUCCACACUUCUAUAUGACCUUUUCCUCGUCGGGAUUUACAAGUGAGCAUCCGAUGAGAUGGCAAUGAACAUUCAGGAAUUAGAACAGACAAGGUCCGAUAUCUAUCCUACAAAGGAGAAGUCUAUCGAUCAUGCAGAUAAAAGAUAACGGUUCCUGGAACACAUGAUCCCAAUACCGCAGAUGAAGAGAACGCUUCUGGCAAUACUCGCGAAAGCUUGUGAAUAACAUUUCUAUUUUCUUACCUAGCCGAUCGGCAAUGUUCCUGACCUAUUUCCGAAGAAAAUAGUGCCCACCUGGAUUGCAUCAGCAUCAUCAUGGAGCUAGCUUUGUAAAGAUCAUUCAAUCAUAUACUUGUCAUAGCAGUUUAGUA